GGCUGGCAGACAGUCAGGAAGUGCACCGCAGCAGCAAGUCUCAAGAAAGGGAGGACAGCCUGAAGACAGCUUUGGAAAUGUGUCUCCUUUCCCCAAUGAUUUCCAGGUGCAGGCUCAGCCUGAGGCUGUUACUGAAGAAGACCUGAGGCUGAUCCAGGAGAGAGAGUCGUCCAUCAGGCAGUUGGAGGUAGGAAAAGAAUCAAAUAUUUAUUCCAGCAUGGUCGCCAAUAUGUAAAGUAUCUCGUCAGAGGUGUGUUUUUGUGUUCACCAUGAAGUGUUGGACAUGAGCGCCCCUUUCUUACGACCCAUCUCCCCUUCUGUUGCUUGACUCAGGCUGACAUCACAGAUAUCAAUGACAUCUUCAAGGACCUGGGGAUGAUGGUCCACGAGCAGGGAGACAACUAAGAUAUAAGUUAGUGAGUUAGAUGAGAAGUUUGAUAGUGCUCUCCUGUCAGUAAGGUAAAUAUGAAGCUACAGCCAGCAGCUGCUUAGCUUAGUUUAGCACUCAGAUUGAAAACACAGGGAAACAGCUAGCUUAGCUCUGUCCAAAAAACAAAGAUACAACAUAUAAAUUGUGCUUUGGAGGUGCUGGUAGACACGUGUUACUACCUUUGGACUGAGCCCGGCUGGAUGUUUCCCCCUGUUUCCAGUCUUUACACUUAGAUAAGAUAAGCUAGCCUUUCUGUGCUUUAUAUUGAACAGACAAAAUAAUGAUCGUAGUUGAGGGCAGUUUAAGAUGUUCAGUGCAAACAACAGAGUCUGAGAACUUUUUGUCUUGACUUUGCCAUUUAUCUGCGAUAUAUAUUACUGAAUUAAGUUCAGCAUCUGAACCUUCCAAAAAAGCCUAAUAAAGACAGUAAAAUGAGGGUUUGUUGACAGUUUACUGGGACACACAUAUUCAGGAGACAGUGAAACUGUAGAGAAGAGAAAUGUCAGCUAUGGCUUUUUGUAUUUCAAGUGUCUCUUCUCAGUGGAUCCUCCCUGUGAGUAAUACGAAAGUGAUCCUCAGCAGCUCGUCGUCAUUCCGGUCACGAUGGACAUGAACGUGUUGGUGGCGAAGCUGGGAUUCAGCAUAAGCUGCUCCAGCAUCUCUCGGCCUUUCUCUCUCGUGCUCACUGAACACAUGGCUUUUUUCCACAGGCGCACCAGCGUCCCACCUGGUAGAUGACACCAUCACGAUCAUCAUUAAAAGCUCACCAAUUCAGUGAAAAGGCCGUAUCAUGAUAUUUGUGUGUGUGUGUGUCUGUCUGUCCUACCCAGCAGUGAGUUAAUGUUAUUCAUCCAAGAGAAGAUAUACAGUGUGUGGUUCUCCUCCUGACUCAGAUCAGGGAUGUUAGGCACGCUGUCGUCUGCCUGCACACACAGGUGUGACGGUAGAAGAAAAUCAGACACUUACACAGGCUGUAAAACUAGAAAAUGAGAUGAGGUUUAGAAAUGACUGGACUGAUGGAGGUGUGGGUACGCGCCUUUAAAACUCGGCCGGGCAGAGGAGUCAUGAACAUGACAGAUUUUUCCAGAUUGGAGUGGAAAUGUGCUGCUGCAACAUACUCUGCUGAGUUCAGCCAGCUGUUUGCAAAUGACACCUCUGUCGAGGGGUAGUGGCUCUGCCUGAAGGACGGGGCAGACGGAGGUGAGACAGCUUAAAGGAGUAGUUCAACAUUUUGGUGAAGUGUGCUUAUCGCUUUGACACCACUCUAACAUCUGUUUGUCAAAUAUGAAGCUGCUUUCUACUUUAUCGAGUUGUGUCACCACGAGGUUACCAAGCAACUAGCGGAGACUCUGGUGGCUGGUACAUAACUCCUCAUAGAUGGAUGGAUGGAUGGAUAGAUGGAUAGAUUACCUGGUGUUGCAUGAAGCAGAGGCAUAAGUUGAAGCCAUUUGGGCCUCCCAGUAGAGACCGAGGAGAGCAUCUUUCUUCUCAUCAUCAGGGAGGGGAGACUCAGCUGCAGACUUGAGUCCCUUUAAUCACACACAGAACAUUAUGGAUCUAUUGCAGCGAUUUACAAUUGCACCUUGGAAAUGUUGCUGUAAGGACAGAUUAAAAUAGAAGGAGAAGAGGUUGAGACAUCUUGUCUUUUAGACCCUCCCUGUCUGAUACUGAGUAAGGCCCCAUUCUUUAAAACUGCAAACCCCCAGUUUAUAACAGGCUUUCUGGUAAAAGAGGUUUGCACAGGCUGAGUGGUGCAGGACGAGUGAAUUGAUGCUGAUGUGUAAAGUCAGUCUUGCGCAUGUUUUACACACAUUGUGGGGACAUAAAACUGUUUACACAGUCACAUUGUGGGGACCUGUCCUCCUUAUGGGGACAAAAUGCAAGCCCCAUUACAUAAGUCAUUAAAUUCUAUGGUGAAGACUUGGGUUAAGCUUAGGGUCAGGGUCAGGCAAAGUUGUGGUUAUGGUUUUGGUUGGGGUAAGUCUCCAAACAAUGAAUGCAAGUCAAUGUAAUGUCCUCAGAAGUGAUGGAGACAUGACUGUGUGCGUAUUCAAAAGAGUUAAUACACGAAACAGUGGCCAGUAGUUUAUUGUUAUAAUAAAAUCAAUAAUUUGUACGUGGAUUUGUGUGUGUGUGUGUGUGUACUGUACAUACCUGAAAAAAGGCAUCCCAUUUAGACAUGGCAUCAGGGUAGCUAGCAGCACAGUCAGCAUAUGUGGUGCAAUAGUCCAUUACACCUUCGGGCACCUGCAUCUGGACCUAAUAAUCAUACCAGUCAUCAUUACAAUCAUCCCCAACAGCACCAAACCAUAACAGUUAGCAGGCUUCCCAUUUGUGUGAGGGCCUAAAAACAGCAGCACACACAAAUAUUCAGGAGUGCAGCUUUUAUUAGGUUUUUUUUUAGCCAUGCUAGCAGCAAAAAAAGUGUCUUUGAGGGUCAGUCAGUCCACCACUGUGAUCCAGAGUGAAAUAUUUCAACAAUUAUUGGAUGGAUUUUGAUGACGUUUGGUACAAACAUCAAUGGUGCCUAUAGGAUAAAAUCUAAUGUGUCUGGUGAUCCCGACUUUUCCUCUGAUGGCAUCAUGAGGUUGAAAUUUGUGGUUCUUAGUGAAAUGUCUUAACAACAGUUUGGUUGACUGCAGGAAUAUUUACUACACACAUCCCUGACCCCUUCAGGAUGAACUGCACUUACCACCAUCAGGUCAAAGUUUUCAAUUAGCUGUACCUGCUUAACGUCAGCAUUGUCACUGUGAGCAUCUUAGCAUGCUGAUGUUAGCGUUUCGCUCAAAGCACCACUUUGCCUGUAAGUGCACCCUUGCGGGCUGCUAGCAUGGCUGUCUCGUUUUCACCUGUCUCACUUUCAGGUUGAGAUGUCCAACUGCACAAGUACCUGAACGCCCGCUCCCAUGAAGCCCUGCUGUGCGGCAGACAGGAAGGGCAGUGCAGAGACAAAGUAGUUUACACCUGGAGAAGAAAGAAAUGUGACAGCUGUAGAGAGAGAGGGGAUGACAUGCAGCAAAGAGCUGGAACUGAAAGUGAACCUGGGCCGCUGUAGUAAGAACUCUAAGAGGUGAGCCACCAGGACGCCCCCAGCUAGGAAGCAUCUUACCUGAAGUUAGCAUCCAUCCAAGCUGCGGUGGCAGUCCCCACAAAGGACUGUCUGUGGCGUUUGUCCCCAUAGAGCCCAUAAACGGGUCUGUAGCAGUUAUCAUCAGGCGGUAGAGACUCAUGCGGUGAAGGAAGUUCCAGGGGUCGGGAGCCAGGAUCCCGUUCUGUAUCGGCAGGUCGUUCACUUGUGUGGCCGUUUGCGCCCACAGGAUGGGCAAGCCAUUUUCCAGAACGACUGCAGAAAUGCUGAGAGACACUCCACAUGCCAGGAGGAUGCCGAGGACCGUCGGACGCUGCAUGACUGAAGAGCUGGGACUGCGGAGCGAGAUGGAGUCACUGGACUGAGAGUUGUCCCUAAAAACAUGGCUUAUAUACUUUCUGUUUACAUUCAAAUCUUCUGACCCACACAAGCAAACAGUAGCAAACUAACAUGAGACACUCAAGUUGGCCCAUGUGACAUGUGGUUCAGUGGACCCUCAUUGACAGACAGAUAAGAUAAUGUGCGUUCAUAGAAUUCAAGACAGUUCAGAUACUCAGAAUCAACAGCAAUCAAUAAUGAUAUCUGCAGAUAUGAAAGACCACCAUGUAGUCUUGACCAGCAGCCGCUGAGAGAGGUGUGCAGACUGUUAUGCUCCUACAGAUUAAUAGACCAAGAUAAGACAAGAUAAGAUAAUCUGGCAUCAUGUUGAACCUGAAAACUCACGGCAAAGUGAGUACAGCUAUUUCGCUAUCGCAUGUCAUGUGUUCUAGUAGACACACAAAUGUGUGGUUAACCUGUCUGAACCUCGAUGUGCAAACUACUGGGUCGACACAGCAGAUGUUCAUCUGCGAUUUUUAUGUUGUGGUCCCAGUAAUAUUUGUUCUUCAUGUGCAGUGAUGUUCUAAAUGCAGCUUCAAGAACAAUACAACCAAGAUUCCCAAAAGUUGGGACGCUGUGUAAAACAUGAAACAGAAUGUGAUCCCAUGAACUGCAGCGUCCAGUCAGGCGGGCAGAGCAGGCAGCGGGGAUGCAGCUGACAUGAUGGAGUCAAUCUCACAUUGGAAACGACCCAGCAUAGUCAGAAUAGUUGAUGAUGGUCGUAAGCAUCCGGCUUUCAUAUAAAAUGUAUUGUACUGUGGUACUAUCACGUUAUAAUACUACUGAAACAUUCUGAGCAAUAAAUAUGUCUUAAUGUGUAUGAAUAGAUAUUUAUGUAUAUGUGAUAACUCCCAGAAUCAUGACAGAACUCAGUCUUCAUCACUGUUCGCUAUAUUUGUUCAGUUCUUACUUCAUUUUUGCAGAAGAUAUAUAUACAUAUAUAUAUCAGUUAUUUAUGUGCAUAUAUUUACACUUCACAGUGCAGAUUUGCAAUAAGAAAGCUAGGUUUGGUCUAGGUGUGGCAAGUCUACUACAGGUACAAAGUAAGACCAAACUUAUUUUGUCAUUUGCGAAGGACCCACGGGGUUUGCCUACAGACACACUGACAGAGAAGAUGGAGAAUAAAACCCACUUGAUCAUGACAAUAAGGAUGACAAUAAAAAUAAAGACAAUGCAUAAAAUCACAGCGGUGUCCACAAUAACAAAAGACAUGAGACGAAUUUGUAAAAUAAGGGAAGACUCUAAAGCACGGAUGACAGGAGUGCUCAUUUCUUUCUCCAAAUUGCAUCUAUUAAACCACUUGAACACAUAUACAAUUUACAUUCAGUGCAUCUGUUGUCCAAAAUCAAAUUUCUAUUAACUAAAGUGCAUUGACAUCACUGUGCAUCUGUAACUGCUCAAAAUCACUUUAAAUUAAAUGCAUAUCACACUUUCAAUUAAUUCCCACCAGUGAUUUUACAGGAUACAUACUGUACUUGUAAUGCUGUCUUAUCUAAGUUAUAAUACUGAACUAAGGAUUACUCGACUCAGUCACUUCUAAGUGCAUUUAACUCACUCAGCUUUGGACACAGCACUUUGAAAUAUAUAUUCAAAUUUAACUGGCCGGGAAAAUAAAAUUGAUGUGCCCUGCACUGUUGAAGUGGCAAUGAAAUAAGGUUGGCAUAUGAUAUAAAAUACCAAAUGGGGUUACCCCUAUUUUGGGGUACCACACAUAAAAUAAUAAAAUAUAGGGAAAAAAGAUUACAUAGAAAUCAUACAAUCAAGUCGAGUACAACAUUUUAUAAGAAAUGCUAGAAUGAGUGAUUUUACUUUUCAUACAUUAAGGCAAACUGCUUCUCAGAUAAAUCCUACAUUUCUUGAAUG